AAUUAAUAGAACAAAAAAUCAAUUGUCUUACGAAAAGCUAGGAAAAGUACAUAAUAUUUAAAAAGAAGAAAGUAAAAGUUCAAUAUAAACUGAUUGCUUUAAAAUGUGUUAUUGUUAGAUGUGUAUACAAUAGAAAACAUUUUAUUUUUAUUAAAUAUAUAUAGAUAAAAAAUAUCUCUAUAGUCUCAUGAACUUUUAUUUCAUUCAUUAUAAUAAUUAAUAAUGAGUGCCGAGAUAGAUAAUGAACCAAUACCAAAAAAAAUUAAAUCUGUUAAUUUGGACAAGGAUAUUUCUAAUGACAAUGAAAAGUUAAGAAAAAUAGAUAGUUUUCAUAAUGAAAAUAACAUAAAGAAGAAUUCUGAAUGUCAAGAAAACAUAGAAUUAACUGAUGAUGAAGGUGAAGAAGAAAAUUCAUUACCAAAGGAUGAUGAUGAUGACGAUGAUCAUUUAUUUUCAUUUCCACCAAAUGAUAAUGUUGCAGACAUGUUAGAUGAAGUACAUUAUAGUGGUUUAUUUCCAACAAUCACAGAGAGAUAUUUUACUGCUUAUUAUAAAUUAAAUGUACAAAGUCCUAAUGAUGACAUUUGCAUUCUAAUGCACAGUAAUCGUAUUUGCAUGCUCACUUUAGCUCCAAGUCAUACAGUUUUACAAGGUAAUAAAGAAAUAACAAAAGUUAAUUUCAAAGUCAGUGAAAAAUUGGAUAGAGUUCUGAAUAAGGUUUCAGGUAAGAGCAAACAUGGAGCCCAACCUUUACAAGCAAACUCUAAUAUUUGUAUUAUAUCUUCUUCGAAUGGUAAAACUUACACCAUAAAGUGUUGCAUAAUUGGAAAAUUGGUAGAAGUGAAUGAAACAUUAUUACAAAAUCCAAAACUUUUAUUAGAACCUCCACACAAGGGAGGCUAUUUAGCCAUAAUAUUGCCAAAUAUAAACCUAUUGGAUAAAAUGAAAAAGUCUUUAUUAACUCAAGAACAAUAUGACUUGGAAAUGCUAGAACGCAAGAAUACAAUAAGUCAAUUAGAAAUUUCAAUAAAGAAUAAUUCAGAAACAAUAAAUAACAAUCCGCAAUUAAAUUCCACACAGGAUCAAAUUACAUUACCAAUAGAAAGUUGAUUUUAUGUGUGAAACUGUCAAUUGUACUAUUUAUUUAUGUUUUUAAUAAACAUAUAUUUACUUUUCAAACAAAAAUGAGUAUUUAAAUACAGAAAAGCAAUUUAUUUUGUAUGUUUCCUGCAGUUACAACAACUAUUUUGUAACAGUAGUUUUAAUUAUAAUUAUUAUUAAUAUUGAUUAAUGGUGUAAUCUUUGGUGUAAAUUUUAAGUUAUGUUGUUUUUUUAAACAUAGACCAUUUUAAUGUCAACAUUUGUGUCAAUAUCAAAUUGUAUCACUUUCAAUUUGAAGAAUGGUAUAAUAUAAAUUAUAACUAAGAAUUCAUGCUGUUACAUGGCACAUUUAUAUGUAUGGAAUUGUUAAAACAAAUUCUAUGCAAGUGUACUAGAACCAGCCAGUUACUUACACAAUUUAUCUUGCAUAAUUUAAAAUGUGCUACUGUUGCCUUCAUGUGUAAUAUAUUUUCAAAAAUAAUUCAAUUUAAUUCAUCUACAACUGAUAGACCUAAUGUUCGAUGUUGUCAUCUGGUUUGUUAGUAGAAUCUUUCAUUAGAUUUCCUAACACAAUUCCAGCAAAUAAAAUCAUUCCUACCCUGUGAUUGGAGAUGAACUUUUUAGCACAGUCUGUUGGAUUAUCAAUAUUCAAGCUGUAAACCUAAAUAUAAAUAUAUAUUAUGUUUAACAUUAUUCAAAUCUUAUAAUUAUGUACGACUGAACUAAAUUAUAAUAAUAAUUGUUUACUUGAUUCAAAAGAUGAGCACUAACUAAUCCAACUGCUGUAUAAUAUGGCCAAGUCUGUGAAGUUACAAUACCUGAUGUAAUUAAACUACUUAUCAUAACUGUACUGAAUCCAGCCAAGUACGUUUUUGUGUUAUCUUUAAACUUUAAAGCUGUUGAUUUAAUACCUAUUAUAGCAUCAUCUAUUUUAUCCUGCAAUACAACGAUAAAUAAUAAAAUGAUAUUAUUUAAAAUAGACAGCAAACCUUUACCUGAUGUGCAUAUAUAGUAUCAUAUAAAAGUGUCCAACAAAUUCCAGCAACGUAAAGAGGCAGACACACUGACCAAUCACAUGAUCCGUGCACUGCAGACCAGCCCAAAAGUGCACCCCAAUUAAAAGUCAUUCCUAGCAUCAAUUGUGGCCAAAAUGUUAUUCUUUUCAUAACUGGGUAUAACAUUACUAAAACUGUAAUAAAAAUGUGAUGUUUAUUUCAUAUAUUAUAAAAACAUAUGUAUAUGUAUAUGUUUUUAUAUUUAUUUUUACAGUAUUUCUGAAUUUUAAAUGGUGGACAUUCAAAAAUUUCUAAGACUGUUAUGGUUAGUGAAUAUAAAUAUUAAUACAUUCUCAUUAUUUAUAAACUUGUAAGUUACUCAGUUAGAUUGAAAGAAUUUGCUUUAAUUUGUUAAAAAAAUUGAGAAAUACUGUUUCGUACUAAAAUUAGGAAAAUAUACCUAAUGAGCUUGCACCCAAUAUAAUACUAUAAAGAUUUAGUUGUAACAACACUAGUAAUCCUAAAGUUAAUUGGCUUCCAAGAAAAGCAAAUGAUUGAAGAGGUGAAAUUUCUCCAGUAACCAAUGGUCUAUCUUUUGUUCUCGCUACCUGACAUUGAAAAGUCUUUAUAAUAUUGAAUCUUGAAUAUUUGUAAACUUGAUAUUACCAUGCUGUCAAUAUCUUGAUCCCACAUAUCAUUUAUUAUACAUCCUGCUCCACGCAUGAUAAAUGCACCAAUUCCGAAAAGGGAUAAAAGUUGAAAAUCUGGUAAACAACCUGCUGGUGCUGCUAAGGCUAUGCUCCAACCACAAGGCCAAAACAAUAACCAUGAUCCUACAUAUAUAAGCCUUUAAUAACUAACAUUACUCGUAUAUGAACGUUAUGAAAAGUACAUGGCAUAGUUACCUACAAUAAAUUGUAUAAUUUCGGCUAUGUUAUCUCACCUAUUGGUUUGUCCAUCCUCAAUAGUUUUAAAUAUGGUCGGAUUUUAGAUGGACUAUUAUUAACUAGUUUCACAGCAAAUGUUACAUUUUGCUUUGAUUGCACGUUUGAUGUUAAAGAAUGUACUACCUCAUCGUUUGGCUUUAAUGAAACUUCAGCAGGCUUCGACAGAUUUUCCGUUGAUAUAUAGUUUCUUUUAUAUUUAUCAUGAAUGAACGACGAAGUAUGAAUUGUAGUCCAUGGAUGUAAUUGAUUAACCACGUGUAAUCCUUGACUAGAUUGUAAGCAGGAUACUAAUAGUUUUCCAGAUGCAAUAAAUUGUUGACAUCUCUUCAUUAUUAUCAUUGUUCCGUCUUCUAACUAUUAUAAAUAAAUAUUAUGAAUUUAGCUUAACCUCAACUUUAAUUUAGAGUAAUUUAUUUUGUUCUACACACAAUUGAUCAUACGUGAUAUAACACUUGUAUUUAUUACGUUUUUAUUCACAAAUUACAAGUCAUUACAAUAAGACGCAUACCGGCACUUUGUCAUAUUACAUAAUUAAUUCAGUAAACUGCAGCGCAAGGUUAAAUAGUCAUGCUCUAUGGAAGAACUACAUGCUUAUAUAGGGUGUGGUGCUGUAAAUGGAAUAUAAGUGAAAUACUGUAUCUAAAUAAAUACUUAUAGAUUAUCUCUUAUCUACAACAAUUUUCAAUAAACAUCGACUUCAUAUUAAGACUUUUGUGGCUUAUGCAUCGUUGCAGUUCGUAGAAACAGAAUUGUCCUAUUUUG